UGAGGAAUAUUGGGCAAUGGGGGAAACCCUGACCCAGCAACGCCGCGUGAAGGAUGAAGGUCUUCGGAUUGUAAACUUUUGUCUUUGGGGACGAACACAAUGACGGUACCCAAGGAGGAAGCCACGGCUAACUACGUGCCAGCAGCCGCGGUAAUACGUAGGUGGCAAGCGUUGUCCGGAUUUACUGGGUGUAAAGGGCGUGUAGGCGGGACUGUAGGUCAGAUGUGAAACCGAGGGGCUUAACCUCUCGUCUGCAUUUGAAACCACAGUUCUUGAGUAUCGGAGAGGAAAGUGGAAUUCCUAGUGUAGCGGUGGAAUGUGUAGAUAUUAGGAGGAACACCAGUGGCGAAGGCGGCUUUCUGGACGAUAACUGACGCUGAGGCGCGAAAGCGUGGGGAGCAAACA
rnacentral:rRNA from 1 species